rnacentral:rRNA from 1 species
UACAGAGGGGGCAAGCGUUGUUCGGAAUUACUGGGCGUAAAGGGCGCGUAGGCGGCCUGCUAAGUCGAACGUGAAAUCCCUGGGCUCAACCCAGGAACUGCGUCCGAUACUGGUUGGCUUGAAUCCGGGAGAGGGAUGUGGAAUUCCAGGCGUAGCGGUGAAAUGCGUAGAUAUCUGGAGGAACACCGGUGGCGAAGGCGACAUCCUGGACCGGUAUUGACGCUGAGGCGCGAAAGCCAGGGGAGCAAACGGG